AUGUUCAUCUCAGCAGCACAUAUACUAAAACUGGCAUAACACUGAGGAGAUUAGCAUGGCCCCUGCAUAAGGACGACACACAAAUUCCUGAAGCAUUUCAUAUUUAU
ensembl:snRNA U6 U6 spliceosomal RNA